CGAAAGUUAAGUAGUGAUAAUAGUACCUUCUAUUGUCUCUUGUUGGUUUUUGGAGAAUUUGUUAGAGGUCAAUCACAUCCUUUAAUGGGGAUCAGAGGCCCUGAAUCGGUGAGUUGUGUCAGUUUUUUUUGAUGUUUAAGACUUCAUGCAAUUCUAUUUUUCUCAUGCAGUUUCACUUCACAUCUGUUGCUAGCGGUAUCUGGCCGUUACAAAGGAGAAAAGGCGUUCCUGUGGAUGAGGAUUUCACCAGUCCAGAGAGCUAAUUUGGGAAAAAUAUUGGCGAGUUAUUUUCCACAGAAAACCUUUGUUUUGUCAGAAGAACAUUCAUCUAAUUAAAAUUGAUUUACCAGCAGCAAAAACUCUUUUCUGAAGGGUUUUAUGGUUGGGUUUUGAAACUCGUCAACUAAUCAGAAAAUCCUGAACUUGUCUGCCUAGCCUAAUUUGGUUUCACUGACCAAGCAUAGAAAUUUUGACGUGACUGGCAAGUUUGGUAUUUUGGAAUCCCACAGGCACCAAAGGACCUGUCAAGUUGAAACGCAAGUACCUAGUGAUAAGCGGGAAAUUUCUCUAAUUGUAUUAUCAAUUUAUUAUUGUAUGCGAUACGUCUCAUUGUUUUUUUUAUUUUUUUUAUAUUCUAUGGAAAGCGAAGAUUUCCUCGUUAAUAGGAUUUUCAAUUUUACUUCAUACUCCUAUUCAUGCGCCUGCGCUCAAGCUUAAGCUACGGUCGGGAGACAAAAGCAGUCAAUAACAGAAGACGGUUGAUCUCUGCUAACUAUUAUAUUCGAGAUUUUGCUUUUGGAUGUGAGAAAAUAAACUUUUAUUCUCAAUCUCAUAUUACCAGAAUUAUGUUGUUUAUUAGUAUUACUACAAUAGAUAUUGCUCUAUCCUUGUUGUCAAUUACUCGCCUGAUCCAUCCCAUUGUUUCAUGAUUUCAGUGUGAUGAACUUCUAAGAACUUUUUUUUUGACAAUAAAAAAAUCAUGUGGCGUCCAUUAUGAAAGUUUGAUUGAACCACUCCCUUCUCCACUGGUUAAAGGUUAGCGGCAAUUGUCCAAAUAAUUAGUAAUUGAC